AACACUUGCUGCUUCAGUGUAUGGCUUAUCCAGUGAUCACACCAAUGGGUGGGGCCAUACGUAUGCUUGUUUUCCAAACAGCUAAAUCAUGGCUGAAACUAAAUCAAAGGCAAACUUUCACUGCCUUCAAUACUGAAGAAUUUGGAUUUAAAUACGAUCAGUUGGCUAAAAGCAGCAAGGCGAGGUCACAGUGCUUCUGUACCUUCCAAUAUCAAGUGACAGCAGAUUCCCACAUCUUCCAUUAUUUUAGCAAUAAAGCAAAGAUUCCUGUUGACUGUGAUCACUUUAUAAGAAUGCUUUUCAGAGCCGUCAGGAUUGUGCAGAAAGAUCAUGUGCUGGGCUUGCUGUGGAGCAUGAAGAGGAGGAGGGAAAGGACUGGAAGAAGACAAGUGAGAACCUCACAGUUGAAAAAACUGAGUGCUGAUGUGAGAAACUGGAUUCUCUAUCUGUUGCUGCCACAGAAUUCCUAUACAUUGCUAGGAAAGCUGCCUAAACACACUUUUAACAAUAACUGAGAUGCUGAUGUAUCUGAUACUUGAAGUGGCAAGUUGAGUUAAGGGAUCCUCACUUAAAAAUUUGAAGUUGUCAGAAAUACUGAAUUCCUUUGAAAUUCAGUAUGAAGUUUUUUUUCACCCGAGGAAAGAAACUCAGUAGACAUUUCUGACUUUUAAAAAUAUCCUUAACUCUCCACCCGUAUUCAGAUACCGCAGAAAGUGCAUACCCUCAAGAAACACACAAAGAAACCAAUGCAUCUAGCUUUAUGGAAGGGUUUGGAAAGUGUCAGAUGGUUAAAAUUUUUAAGAGAGAAAGGACCACAAAAUGAAUGAGGCAUAUCUCCUAAAGAAAGAAAAUAAUUUGAUCACGUAAUAAAACCCCAUGUUGUUAUGCCUACACUUUGAAGUCCAAAUUAAUUUUGCACAGACAACUUUAAUUGUGGCCUUUUCUGAUGUACCAGUUUCGAACUUUGCUUUCCAAAAUUGGCUUCUGUGUGAACAAGUGUAAAAUAGAGUAGGCUGGCCCUACUGUAGUAGCUCUUUUACUUGAGAUACUACAUAGUACUUGAGGUAGUAAAUAAAAACAUCUGAAAAAGCCUUCAUAAUUACAAACUAAGAUUGUUUAUUAAAUCCUUUUUUAAAAAUUAAUUUUAUUUAAUUUUAAAAAUUAACUAAGAUUGUUUAUCAAAUCUUAACACUUUCAUAGACUGUAUCAUGUCCAGAAUAAGUUUUUAAUUAUUUAAUGUAUUAGUUUUAGCCUUUGGAAGUGCUAACUUGUUUGGAGCUCUGGAGCCUGUAGAUCACAUUUCGGCAUUGAUAUUUUUCCCAACUGAAAGUUACUUCUGUAACUGUACAUGGGUUUGCAAAGCUUAUAGUAUUUUUCUCCAGUCUUGUAUAUUGUAUGAGGUCUCUCUUGCAGGAAUAUAGUGUAAUGCAGUGUAUUCACCUGAGGGGAUGGUAAAGGAUGUUAAAACAAAUGCUGAUAACACUGUGGAUUGAAAAAUACCUUUUUCACAUACAUGCUAGCAGAUAUUCAUUUACAUUUGGUGUCAUAAUAAAGUUAGCUUUGUGGAUCCAGAAGAAAGUAUCUUGCCUGACAAUUUCUGCAUCCCUUGUUCCAUAAGAAUACAUCCAGAGUGUGCAAGGGGGUGUUCACACAGAUAUGCUUCUCUCUGGUCGUGGCUCCUUUGGGUUUCUAGUCAAAUCCACUGCUUCCUGAGGACCCACCACUGCUCGAGAGCAAAGCUUCAUCUGCUUCCAGAGCUCUGUUACAAUGGGCUUUUAUCUGUGUUGAGCUGGGACCAGGAUGCCAGCUCCAGUGAUGGGAAGUUAGACUUCCCUAAGCAUCCAGACCAGAGGCGGUUUCCUUUGCAGCUCUACCACUACCAUUAAGGGACCUACAAGUCCUCAAAUGGCUUCUGUAUACCAUCAAUUACACCAGAUUAUUGCUAGAAAAUCAAAAGCAUAUGAGAGAGACAGAACUGUAAGAUCUGACCUCUUCCAAAAGUAGAGAAAACAAACAAAACCAAACAAAAGAGAGAGCAGUGAAUAUGACUCUUUGGGGAAAUGAGAAUGUAAACUUGCCUUUUAACUUCAACAAUAUCUUUUAAGGAGAAAGGAACAUUUUGUCUUCAGAGCAAAUUCUGUAACCUUCAUUUAACCAGUAAAAAAUGACUGAGGUGGGCAAGAUUAUGAAGGUGAAGUUCUGACAGAUAUUCUUCCAUCCCUGCUAGGACAAAGGUUAUGCUCUCGUCUUUUGUGUUCCCUGCCAUUUUCUUCCAGACAGCUGAACCAUUCCUUCUCUAAGGUCUCUUUGGUCUGGGGCCCCUAAAAGCUCAUAUAACAUCUUCAGCAGAUUUGUGUUUCUUUUCUCUAUCCCCCCCUCUCCCUCCACAUUUUUUUUUUUCUUUUUUCUUUUUCUCAUUUCUCUCACUGAAACUGGUUUUGAGCUUCUUUAAGGUCUCGAGGUGGGCAAGCUUAUAAAAUUGUGGCAGCAGCAACAGCCUUGAAGAGGAUACAAUAACACUGUACAUCUGCUACAAUGUUCUUAAGUAUUUGCGGCAUGCUGGUUUAAGCCUGUCAGUUUUUGUAAGGGCUACCUGUUACAAUGCACCUAAUUAGCUUACCGGCUAUUUGGAGACAGCUCUACUGGUUUUUCUAUCAUCCAGUCUUUAUUAAGUGAGCUGUUUCUGAGACGAAUAGGUUCUUUAUAAUGAUGAGGUCCUUUUUACGCUUAUUAGUCCUUAAAGCAAGCCUCUUCUUAUAGAACAAAGUUCUCUCUCUCUCCCUCUCUUCCUCUCUCUCAUUUUUUUUUCCUUAGGACUUAGACUGGAAGAAGUGAAGCAGCCUUCUUCUUCUUCUUUUUCUUUUUCUUUUUUUUUUUUUUUCCCUUCUGCUGGAGUAUUUUAUUAAAAGUUUUAGUGGCUGCACUAAGAGCAAGGUGCCUGCGCCUUUAAUCAUUUUCAUCUUUAAAACAGAACCUUAUAUUUUCACAUCUUCAGCUGUCCCAGAGGGCAGCUAGGCCAUCUUUAACAACAUUAAUUUCUCUUUAUGACAGGACUAGUGCUGCCCCAGGUCUUCAGAACUGCCUAAAAUGUCUGGAAAAGUAGAUAAUGAAGAGGAUAUUAGAAUUGUAAACAAGAACAAUUUGGUAAUAAAAACCAUAUAUUUUCUCCAUAGGACUUUGGGCUUAAUAUUGCAGCAGCAAAAGUGUCACGAGUCAUAAUUUGUUGAUGGCCACUGUACAUUAGUUACUGUAGGAGCAUGUGCGUAAAGGGCAAGAACUAUUGGCUUUGCAUUAAAGAACAUCUAAGUCAGGUAAUUCUAAUUUACUUGUUUUGAUCUCUUUCUAAUCUCUUUUGUUUGCUUUUAUCACAGUGUGAUUUCAAACACACAGACACACACAUGAAAGAAAAAAUAAGAAAAAGAAGAAAUAAAAAAAAGAAAUAAAGAGAAAAGAUCCACUUCUGCACUGUAAGCCCCACAGCUGGUGAGUAAAAUCUGCUCUCUGUAACUGGGAGAACUGGGCAGGCCCCUCGGCCAUGCUGUUCACCUGGAGUGGAGCAUUCCAGCCCCAGGGAUCUGCCUCACCUCUGCUGCUCUGCAGAGUGCUGCAGAUUCCUGAGCAGGGAGCCAGCUGGAGGACUGAAAUGCUGCUAUCUUCACUGGUACGAUUAUGUAUUUUACUAGCUGCACAUCCCUGCUUCUGCCUACCCAUACAUCCUUUAUUGCUGACAGGGUUUAUGAGUGUAAUAUGAUGGAGUAAGAAACAGUAGAUUUUUCCCCAGAAGCUGAGCACAGCUCUUUGUCCGCAGAGAAUGUGGGAGGGCAGUAUAAAAUGGUAAGCAUUGUAAUCUGCAGAUGUCAUAAACAGGGCUAUCUUUUCAUCUUAAGGUGUACAGCCACCGAGAAAGUUCAUGCUAUACUUAACCUUUGGCCCUCUGCUGAUCUUUUGUUGCUCUGCAUUAGUGUGCUGAAACCUGAAAACAUAAUCCUUACAAUACCUACCACCUUUCAGCAGUAUGGUUUUCCUUCAUAAUUUGCAUUGGCUGCGGCUAGCAGCCUGAACCGUCCAGCUUCCUUCACCAGAUUUUAGACUUACUGCAUUGGAGAAGGAAAAAAAAAA